ACCUCUAAAGCUGCGGGCAGAAGUUCCCCCUCCAUCCAAAGACCGACCAUGAAGAUGGGAAAAACUGAGGCUCAGAAAGAGAACGUCACCUGCCCACAGCCACGGAGUC